ensembl:lncRNA
UUUUUUUUUUUUUUGGCCAUGACUGUGGCAGGUGGAAGUUCCUGGGAUGUUAGGAGUUUAAGCUUAAAAUAUAUAAAAUGGGUAAUAAACAAGGACCUACUGUAUGGGCACAGAGAAUUCUGCUCAAUGUUCUGUAAUAACUUAUAUGGGGAAAAAAUCUGAAAAAGAAUGGCUAUAUGUCUAUAUUUAACUAUGCUGUAUACUUGAAACUAACACAGUGACACUGUUGCAAAUCAACUAUAUUCCAAUAUAAAAUAAAAAUUAAAUUGAAAAAAUAUAUUAGUUUAAACUUAAAAAUUAGCUGGAGUUUGAGAUUCAGAUUGCUGUCUGUACACUUCCCUGGGACUUCUGAUUCUGAAGAUCUGGGUUGGGGCCCAACAAUCUGCAUUUUUUUUUUUUUUUUUAACAAACUCUCCAGGUGACUCUGAUAUCAGUGGAACUCAGGCUGUGUUUGAGCAUGAAUACAGUUCUCAGGAAUGCUGUGGGUAGUAUCUAAUCAUGCCAUGUCUCUGCUUAAAACAAAUCCCGCCCUUCUGUCUCUAAGAUAUUGUCAAGUGCAUCCUGGAAGAAGCCCAACUCGUUAGCAUGCCUUCUAAGUUUCUUCACAAUUUCCCAGCCUCAAGUACUAAGGAGGAGAACACUAGGAGACACUGUUUCUCAUCAAAAAGAAGAAAAAAAAAACCCCAAACCCUCCUAUUCUCUUUUAAGAAAACACUACCCAGUGUUACUGUGAGGAGCGUACAUUUUGGGUCUUCAUUAGAGCCAACUUGGCUGCCUGUUUCUACAGAUCAGCUCUGGAUAUUUCCACAUUCCUCAUCCAUUUUGCCACUCAUCCCAUAGCUCUGUGCAGUUUUGCUUUUUCUCCCUCCCACUGAAGUCCUACCCUUUUUUUCAUAACUUAGUCAAAGAUUCCAUCACCUGCAGUUGGAAAUCUUCCUGGAUUUCUCCUUAUUCUGUCCCAUCAGGGUUCUUAUUUGCACUUUUAUGAUAGCAGUCACCACAUUUGUUUACUCAUCUGUCUCUCCAUCUAGCUCAGUGGUUCUUAAUUGUUCAUGUCCACUGGCCAGGACAGAGCAUAACCCCACCCCCAGGGGACACUCCAUGCUCAUGCCUCAUUAGGUAGGAAUCCAGAGACCAGUUAUAAUUUCUCUCUCUUAGGAAAGCACGUUGAAAGCAAGAGUGUUGGAACGGUGGGUUGUGGUGAUAACUGUGAUACUUUGAUAAAUUGCUUGCUGGGACACGAUGCAUUUCAGUUGAGGACACGUCCCCAAAGAGAAUUAUGUAGGAUGAUACUUUAGGAUAUAAAGAAAAUAUUAACAUUUCUACUUAUUUGUAUUUUUAAUCUAAAAAUAAGGAAGAAGUUCAACUUCCUAAUAUUUUAUUUAUGGCCCGAUGCUGGCGUUCUCAUGCAAGUGUCACGUCACAUACUGAAUGAGUGGUUUCCUGGGGGUGGAAGUGUGAACCCAGCACAAAGGGGUUGAAAGUGGUCCUUUUUUUUGUUUUUGUUUUUGGGGCCACACUUGUGACAUAUUGAGAUUCCCAGGCUAGGGGUUUAAGCGGAGCUACAGCUGCCAGCCUACGCCACAGACACAGCAAUGCAGGAUCCCAGCUGCAUCUGUGACCUACACCACAGCUCAUGGAAAUGCUGGAUCCAUAACCUACUGAGCGAGGCCAGGGAUCGAACCUGCAACUU